rnacentral:rRNA from 1 species
CGAGCCAUUUAUUGGAUUGUGGUGUAAGCGGGUGGCCCGUGGCAUAGGUAAAUCCGUGUCGCAUAUUUGUGUGAGGCGUGAUGCGUAGACCUUUGUGGUUGAUGUUGGUGAUCCUGUACUGUCGAGAAAAGCCUCUAGCGAGUGCAUAUAUGGCCCGUACCCAUAACCGACACAGGUGGUCAGGUAGAGAAUACUAAGGCGAUCGGGUGAACUGCUGU